rnacentral:lncRNA from 1 species
CAUCACACAAUGCUCGACAUAAAUAGCAGAAAGGUACUUUAAUUACAUCAAGAUGUCCAAGACAUCCAUAGAGUCUAAUACAUAUCCAUUGUCUUUAACAUUAAUAUCAAAGUGCGGAGAAACGAAACGUAGAAGAUAAGCCUUCAUAGGCAGCUGACAAGGGGUUUGCCACUAAAGUAAACUAGAACUCGUCGUAGUCCUAGAACUCCUCAAAGUCCUCCAUGUUGCCAACAUCUCCUUCUGAGCACUGAGUACAGUGGGGACAACCUGGUGUGGGGUGGUUUGUAAAGCAAGGGUGAGUACACAUCAACGUACUCAGCAAAUGUCCCGUUUGGCUAAAGUGGACUAGCUGUAUGUGGAGUUAAGGUUAAGCAGUUUCUUUUAAUUGAUCAAGUUUUAUUACUAUAAGUAGAGCCAAAUUUUAGUAAUAAACCCAGUUAUUACCCAGAAGUACUCCCUCCAGGAGGAAAUACCAGAGAUCAGAAUUAUAAACUACAUUGUUAACCAUCAUCAUAAAAGUAACCAAGUUCUUCUAAUCGAAGAUGAUACCAAAGCUACUCUUAACCGUGAGCACGGCUGAUAUACCAGUUUCUAACACUCUGUAGAGGUCGCACACUUUACCCACAAGCUGUGAUUCCCAUUCUGCCCGGGGUUCUAGCCUCCCCAUUGAUCACUACCAAGGUGACCUAGCAGGGUCUCACUACGUAGCCUUUACAAAGAUUUCCUAGAGGUCAUAGUCGCCCGUUAGGUUUCUCCAGUUUGAUAAACACAGUACAUCUCCCCAAAGGAAGGGUGACUAACAAAACCAAAUCAAAGAACCUCUACAACUAGCCUCGGCAGAGCAAGUACUGUGCCCGGACCCCAUUAACAGUCUGAACCCCCCUAAAGUAAUCACAAGAACCUCAUCGAGAUAACAUCAUCAUAUCAUAAAUAAUCACAUCAUGUUCAUUGAUUAAGUUAAAGCAAUAGCAUAAGCUAACCAUGAUUAACCCAAAAAGGUGAACAAGGAUAAGGUAAAUACAGACUAGCCAAUCCUUAAGUUUUCAAUAAUGUAAUGCGGGACAGUGAAUUAUAAAGUAAAAUAGGACAUGAUAGGUCUGAGGACACUUGCCUUCACCAGGUUGUUGCUUAGAGGGAUCUUCGGCAACACACUCAGGAACCACGGGUUGCUCGUUGUCUAAAUAAAGCGAUCAUACAUUCAAUACAUUUGGAAAGUACAAAUGAACAGCACAUCAAACAUGUACAAACAUUGGGACACAACUCAAAAGAUGUAGUAUUAAAUAAAGGAGAAUGAGAUCAAGUUAUAAAAUGAACUAAUCCUAAUUAGGAGUUGAUUACUCUCUAAGUGUUUGGAACAUACCACAAAAAGGUAAAGUAGUAAUUAAACAAAGAAAAGAUUAAAUUAUAAGAUGAACUACUCUCAUUUAGGAAUUUGAUUAUCCUUUAAGUGUUAUCCAUAAUUAUAUAACCUAAUUCUAUUCAUUUCAUUAAGACCUAAAAGUUAAACCAAAGGUGAAUUCAUGUAGUACAUAUUAUUAAUCUCACAAGAUUAAAUAUACUUUAACUCAUAGGAUUCUCCUUUUAUUUAUUUCAUGUAGUAAUUUAUUUUAUGAACAUUUUGCAAUUUGAACCACUAAAUUUGGAGUUCAUAUGAAAUAGAUAUGAAAUAAACAAGUUUUGAAGUUUGAACUAUGAAAUUAGGGCUAAAUCUAUGAUUAAAUAAAAAUACAAGGGUCUAUUCAAAAGAAGUCAGGGGCCUGCGCGCUAAAACAGAGGACGACGGGUUGAUUUCUUAAAACCAGGGGUUUCUUAAGCAAAACUUACACCCGAAGGAGUACGGGGUAACCUUGGCCAUCGGAUCAGAGAUCAACGACCAGGAUUAGAUCGCGCUGGCGCACGGACAAGGCUGACAGGCGGGGUCAGGGCGUCAGCGAGCCAGGGAGGGUUGACCAGUCGGGCCCAGGGGCAGAGGCGCGGGUGAGGGGGAAGAGAGAAGGGUGGUUGGAUCUAGAUCGGAGGGCUGUGAUCAGAUCUGCUCUGGUUAAAUCUAAAUCGCCCGAUCUCAGACAGACGCCUGAGAUCUAAUGGCCAGGGGCAGAUACAGGCGCGGUGGCACCGCUCGGUCCCGCGGCGAGGGCUCGUUGGAGACGAGGACACUAGCCACGGCGGGGCUCUAGAAGCUUGGGGUUUAGCUCAGGCGCGUUCAGGGCGGUCUAGCGGACUCGGCCAUGGGCAUUAUGCCGGUGCAGGAGCACUAGAGGGCGCUGCACACGGCGAGGUGGGCUAACGGCGGCGUGGGAUAGCUCCGGCGAGCAAUCGCGUGAGCAAUAGAGCAGUAACGACCAAAUUAAAGGUACGGGCGAGUUGUUCACCUUGAGGGGAAGCGCUGGAGCCACGGAGCAACUACGGAGGCGCAAGGAUACAACGAGGCAAUGGCGGCGAGGCUUCGGCUGCGCAGAACCACUCUGGUGAGCGGACCGACCAAACUAGGGAGGGGGAGGGCACACCGAAGGGUGUCCCGAGCAGCGGAUGGCAAGGCGAAACUCACCAUGGCACUGGAAGGGGCGUGGACGCGACGGUGGCCGCAGAACGGGCAGCAGUCGACGGCGGGCGGUGGCAGAGCUCUCUACUCACGUGGGUAGAGCGAGAGAGAGGGCAAGGGGGUUUGGCAGAGGGCGCAAAUGAGCGAGGGGAGGUGGGUGAGUAGGGCGCGGGGCUCAAAAGGGGCACGGGCACGGGGACAUGGUCGGAGAACGCGCAGACGUGGGCGCGUCCACGGCGGGGAGAUCGUGGGCGAGUGGUUAGAGACGGCUGACGGGUGGGGGCGGCGGGAUAGAGAGAGAGGGCGCGCGCGAGAGAAACGACACCGAUAGGUCGGCCCCAUAGAGCAGCGAGAGAGAGGGAGUGAGCACGCUCGGGUUGGCGCCGACAGGUAGGGCCCACCUGUCAGGCACCAAGGGCGCGAGCGCGCAUGCGCGGGCUGGGCUUAGUGGGCUGGUUUGGGCCCAAUUGGCCUUUUCUUUUUCCCUAGAAUUUCUAUUGCCCUUUCUAUUUAUUUUCUCUAGGGUUUUCAAUUCAAAUUCAAAUCAAGUUUCAAAUUCAAACCAAAUCAAAUAUGUGUAACAAUCCAAAGAAUAUUUAGGCUCAAUAUGAUGUAACAUUCCAUGACUCAUAUGUUUUGGGCAAAAUAAAAUAAAUAAUCCUUCACUAAUUCAACUAACCCUAAUUAAAAGAAAAAGAGAGGGAGAGAACUUGAGAGAGAGUGAAACUAGAGUGAGAUAGAGAAGAGUAACACCUGAAUUUGGAUGAUCAUAAGAAAGAAAUUUUAUACCCUCAAAUACAGGGUGUUACAUAAUGUUACUAAUAUGAGUGUUUAUAAGCGAAACAAUUUAUUAUCACAGGUAGACACCGCGCGACACACAUGAUCGACAUGCGAGAUACGUGCUAACGACGUGUGGCAAGGCAAGCGACACAUGUAAAUAGCACACGCGACGCACGCAAAUGAUGUGUGACAAUGCGUGUGAACAACGCGUGCGACACACGCAAACGAACAACGGUGACGCGCAAACAGCGUGUGACAAUGCACGAGCAACACGAGACAUGUGCGAACCAACGCGACUACGUGCGCGAACAGCUCGAUGACGCGCAAACGAUGCCGCAUACAAACAACAACAAACAAAUUAUUAAUUAAAAGUAUUUAAGCUGGUAUUAAUUAAGUUAAUAUUAACAUUUAUAUUUACAAAAGCACGAGUUAAAACUAUAGACUCGUUCUAAUUGAAUUGUUAUUUUAAAUAACCAACAACUAACAAGAAUUGACUAAUUAGCGCGGGCGACAAUAACGGAAUUAAUUAAAUAACAUGUGGACCGCGCGCGAAACACACGCGAUCGACAAGAGAUGACGCACGCUGCAACACGUUUAUACUAGCAAGUAUUAAAAAAUAUUCGAGCAGACGUAAUCAUAUUAACAUGUAUAAAAAUGCAAAUUAAAACUAUACAUUAGGUUUAAUUAGAGGGUCGUUUUUUAAUAACUACCGAAUGAACAAUUAAUUAAUUAGUUAAAUAAAACGUGUGUCCUGACAAAAUAGUACUUUUAACGUGUACACGGUAUAAUUGCGAAGCUAACGCAACUAAAAUAAGUCGAAAUGAGUUUACAACACAAAAGAUAUUGAAUACUUAAUCACCCGUGGAAUUACAGUGACCUGACGCAAUUCUAUUGGCUGAAGGCUUACCACACGAAGAGACACACAAAGAAAAGCCAUUAAGCAUCCUAAGAUCCAGACCAUGGUCCACGAAGAUUGAAACGUGGCCACGGUGGGCCAUUCUCCCUUAUCCUAGCUCCACGGAUGGACAAACCGCACAGCCGGUUUCUUCUCCACGGGUGAUUCUUCUUGUUCCUUCAACCACCCACCAGGAAAACAUAUCGAGAGGAGGGGGAAGUAGUGAGGUGGCCGCCGACCAAUAGGGAAGGGGCACUCGCGGGUGGGUCUUCGGCUGGACGCCAUGGCCAAGCCCGGUGGAGCGCGCACAGCAAGCAGGGGAGGGGAGAGAUGGGCUCGCUCUAUACGCAACAGCAGGGAGGCUCAAUUGCUCGUCAUCCCCAGCCACAAGGAGGGCCCAGCCGACUGAGGUGUACCAGGGGCUCUCGCGUGAGGGGGACCAUGGCAGUAGCAAUAGAUCGGCUGCGACCGCACCUUGCCGCAUCGAGGGAAGGGGAUGGGGAAUCUAGCGUUGCACACAGGGGAAGCACACGACAUGGGAAGGCAGUGGGGAUUUCGGGCGUCCAUUCUCACCUGUGGACGACCAACAGCGCAGCGGGUGCGCAGAGGCCUACACUAGGAGGAGGUCGCACCUAGAUAGGGGCAUUCACGUUUGGACGACUCAACAGUAGGAAGAAAGGCAGAAGGGAGAGAACUCACAUGUGUGUGAGGAUCGGCGACGGUUCUUUGGGCACAACGGCGAGAUCGGCAUGCACUCUGGCGCAAAGGUUGUGCGUAGCGG